UAGAAACUGAUAAAGCAGAGCAUGUGUGGGCGGAAAGUGUUUAUGCACUUAUGCAGUACGAUGAUGCAGUACUACAUACAGAGGAUUCGGAUAGCUCCAGAGAACGAGCAGAAGUUACACCAGGCCCCUGGAAUCCUUUGUCUGCAUUUAUUGCAGCAGGCUUAUGUGGGCACUGUAGAUCAGAACACAGGUUCCCAUGAAUGAAAAACAUUUUACUGACUCAUCCAUCUCUUCAAUCCUUAAACACACAAGUCUUCUAAGAGCCCAGUUAGGAAUGUGUUGACUUGCAGCACAACUAAAUUUAUUUCAGUGAAUAUAUAGCUGAAUGAAUUAAAAUGUCUAAGUAAAAGAAGUCAAAUUUGCAUGCGAAGUCAGGCAUGGUGGCACAUAUCUGUAAUUUAGAAGGCCGAGGCAGGUUGAUGACCAUGAACCUUGGCUACAAAAUUC
rnacentral:lncRNA from 1 species